ACGAACGCUGGCGGCGUGCCUAAUACAUGCAAGUAGAACGCUGAAGAGAGGAGCUUGCUCUUCUUGGAUGAGUUGCGAACGGGUGAGUAACGCGUAGGUAACCUGCCUUGUAGCGGGGGAUAACUAUUGGAAACGAUAGCUAAUACCGCAUAACAAUGGAUGACACAUGUCAUUUAUUUGAAAGGGGCAAUUGUUCCACUACAAGAUGGACCUGCGUUGUAUUAGCUAGUAGGUGAGGUAAUGGCUCACCUAGGCGACGAUACAUAGCCGACCUGGGAGGGUGAUCGGCCACACUGGGACUGAGACACGGCCCAGACUCCUACGGGAGGCAGCAGUAGGGAAUCUUCGGCAAUGGGGGCAACCCUGACCGAGCAACGCCGCGUGAGUGAAGAAGGUUUUCGGAUCGUAAAGCUCUGUUGUAAGUCAAGAACGGGUGUGAGAGUGGAAAGUUCACACUGUGACGGUAGCUUACCAGAAAGGGACGGCUAACUACGUG
rnacentral:rRNA from 1 species